rnacentral:rRNA from 1 species
GACGAACGCUGGCGGCGUGCUUAACACAUGCAAGUCGAGCGGUAAGGCCCUUUCGGGGGUACGACGAGCGGCGAACGGGUGAGUAACACGUGGGUGACCUGCCCUCAGCUCUGGGAUAAGCCUGGGAAACUGGGUCUAAUACUGGAUAUGACUCCACGGUGCAUGUCGUGGGGUGGAAAGCCUUGUGCGGCUGAGGAUGGGCCCGCGGCCUAUCAGCUUGUUGGUGGGGUGAGGCCUACCAAGGCGACGACGGGUAGCCGGCCUGAGAGGGCGACCGGCCACACUGGGACUGAGACACGGCCCAGACUCCUACGGGAGGCAGCAGUGGGGAAUCUUGCGCAAUGGGCGAAAGCCUGACGCAGCGACGCCGCGUGAGGGAUGACGGCCUGGUGU